rnacentral:rRNA from 1 species
AGAAUCAACGCUGGCGGCGUGCCUAACACAUGCAAGUCGAACGAGAAAGUGGAGCAAUCCAUGAGUAAAGUGGCGACCGGGUGAGUAACACGUGACUAACCUACCUUCGAGUGGGGGAUAACCUCGGGAAACCGAGGCUAAUACCGCAUAACAUCGCAAGAUCAAAGCAGCAAUGCGCUGGAAGAGGGGGUCGCGGCUGAUUAGCUAGUUGGCGGGUAAUGGCCCACCAAGGCGAAGAUCGGUAGCCGGCCUGAGAGGGCGCACGGCCACACUGGAACUGAAACACGGUCCAGACUCCUACGGGAGGCAGCAGUGGGGAAUUUUGCGCAAUGGGGGAAACCCUGACGCAGCAACGCCGCGUGGAGGAUGAAGCCCCUUGGGGUGUAAACUCCUUUCGACCAAGACGAUAAUGACGGUACUGGUGGAAGAAGCACCGGCUAACUCUGUGCCAGCAGCCGC